GGUGAGAUGGCCGAGCGGUCUAAGGCGCCAGACUAAGGAGUUACUCUACGGAGUCUCUUGACAUCUGGUCCUCACGGGCGUGGGUUCGAAUCCCACUCUCAUCA